AUGACGAACACAAAGGGAAAGAGGAGAGGCACCCGAUAUAUGUUCUGUAGGCCUUUUAGAAAGCAUGGAGUUGUUCCCUUGGCCAUGUGUGUGUGGAUCAAUAAGAAUGGUUACUGUUCAAAAAAGAAUGCCCCGCAAGUGUUACCAUGGCAAAACUGGAAGAGUCUACAGUGUUACCCAGCAUGCUUUUGGCAUUGUUGUAAACAAACAGCAGCAUGCUGACAAGAUUCUUGCCAAGAGAAUUAAUGUGUGUAUUGAGCACCUUAAGCACUCUAAGAGCCCGGAUAGCUUGCUGAAACGCAUGAAGGAAAAUGAUCAGAAAAAGAAAGAAGUCAAAGAGAAAAGUACCUGGGUUCAACUGAAGCUCCAGCCUGCUCCAUCCAGAGAAGCACACUUUGUGAAACCAAUGGGAAGGAGCCUGAGCUGCUGAAACCUAUUCCCUAUGAAUUCAUGGCAUAG
rnacentral:lncRNA from 1 species